rnacentral:tRNA from 1 species
GCGCGAGUGGCUCAGCGGUGGAGCACAACCUUGCCAAGGUUGGGGUCGCGGGUUCGAUCCCCGUCUCGCGCU